CCCACGGGAGGCAGCAGUGGGGAAUAUUGGACAAUGGGGGCAACCCUGAUCCAGCCAUGCCGCGUGUGUGAAGAAGGCCUUUUGGUUGUAAAGCUCUUUCAGCUGGGAAGAUAAUGACGGUACCAGCAGAAGAAGCCCCGGCUAACUUCGUGCCAGCAGCCGCGGU
rnacentral:rRNA from 1 species